GACGUAGGGCGCGAGCGUUGUCCGGAUUUAUUGGGCGUAAAGAGCUCGUAGGCGGCUUGUCGCGUCGACUGUGAAAUCUCAGGGCUCAACUCUGACAUUGCAGUGGGUACGGGCAGACUAGAGUGCGGUAGGGGUGACUGGAAUUCCUGGUGUAGCGGUGGAAUGCGCAGAUAUCAGGAGGAACACCGAUGGCGAAGGCAGGUCACUGGGCCGCAACUGACGCUGAGGUGCGAAAGCGUGGGGAGCAAACAGG
rnacentral:rRNA from 1 species